AGCAGGGGGAGCGCGCCCGGGGCCUGAAGCAAGGCCGGGCCUUCGCCAUGGACAAGUGACUUGGGCCUGCUGGAGACAGGGCAUGGACCGUGGCCUCUAGGUGAGCACAGUACUGCCCGUAGGACCCGGGUCUGUGGACCCCGGCUGUGAAGGCCACUGAGCCCAGCAGAGCUCCACCCUGAGUCCUCACAAUAGAGCCAGUGGGGUCAGGGAGGCCUGGCCCUGAGCGGCCCAGAGGCAGAGGCGUGGCCUGCUCGGUUCCGCUGUGGCCUUGGCUGUUCUAUGGAUUUCUGCUUCGGGGUGACCUGUGGCCCCUUCAUGAAGAGGGUCGGCUUCUGCUUGGGCGGUCACCUCCCCAUCCAUUAACCAUUGACAUCUGCAAGAAGUAUCUGUUCACAGAAACAGCAGCGGCCCUGUGUUUGGAGGCGGUGGCCUGGGCGUGGCUGCAGUGCUGUGGGUCCCCGAUGGGGGGCGAGGGCUGCAGUGCUGUGGGACCCCGGAGGGGGGCGAGGGCUGCAGUGUUGUG
rnacentral:lncRNA from 1 species